GAUGAACGCUGACAGCAUGCUUAACACAUGCAAGUCAACUGUGGCGGACUGGUGAGUAACGCGUAAAGAACUUGCCUCACAGUUAGGGACCACAUUUGGAAACGAAUGCUAAUACCUGAUACUGUGGGAGAGCUUUGCGUCCCAUUAGCUAGUUGGAGAGGUAACGGCUCACCAAGGCGAUGAUGGGUAGCCGGCCUGGGAGGGUGAUCGGCCACAAGGGGACAGAGACACAGCCCUUACUCCUGCGGGAGGCAGGAGUGGGGAAUAGUGGACAAUGGGCCGAAGUCUGAUCCAGGAAUGCUGUGUGUAGGAUGAAGUUUUCGGAAUGUAAAGGGCUUUGAGUGGUGAAGCGGUACCAACAGAAGAAGUGACGGCUAAAUACGUGCCAGCAGCCGCGGUAAUUC
rnacentral:rRNA from 1 species